UGAUAUACAUGCUAUCCUAAAAAGUUAAAUUGAAUUCAGGAAAAUAAAUUGUUGUAGAAACGAUUGUUUAUUGUCAUUUAGUAUUAUUUAAUGUUCUCUCUCAUUCCUGCGUGUUUGCAAAUGUUCAAACUGCCUUCCUUCAUUUUCCAAACAAAGUUGAUAAUAUCCAACCAUGGAUUCAACAACAUUGCCAAACAUUUCAUUUGGAAUUGUAAGACAUUGUAUUAGAAUUUCAUUUUUCAAAUCAUCAAUUGUCACUGGUUUUGCAGUGUAAACCUUAUCUUUGAGAUGUCCCCUUAAAAAAAUCCAUUGGCAUGAGGUCUGGGGAAUGGAUGAGCGUUGUGUAGGGA